AUUCUUGUAGUUGAAUACAACGACGGUUUUUCAAGCCGUCAGUCCUGGUUAGAACCCUGGUAAGAAUU
rnacentral:tRNA from 1 species